rnacentral:rRNA from 1 species
CCUACGGGGGGCAGCAGUGAGGAAUAUUGGUCAAUGGACGAGAGUCUGAACCAGCCAAGUAGCGUGAAGGAUGACUGCCCUAUGGGUUGUAAACUUCUUUUAUAAAGGAAUAAAACGAGGCACGUGUGCCUUUUUGCAUGUACUUUAUGAAUAAGGAUCGGCUAACUCCGUGCCAGCAGCCGCGGUAAUACGGAGGAUCCGAGCGUUAUCCGGAUUUCUUGGGUUUAAAGGGAGCGUAGAUGGGUUGUUAAGUCAGUUGUGAAAGUUUGCGGCUCAACCGUAAAAUUGCAGUUGAAACUGGCAGUCUUGAGUACAGUAGAGGUGGGCGGAAUUCGUGGUGUAGCGGUGAAAUGCUUAGAUAUCACGAAGAACUCCGAUUGCGAAGGCAGUUCACUGGACUGCAACUGACACUGAGGCUCGAAAGUGUGGGUAUCAAACAGGAUUAGAUACCCGUGUAGUC